rnacentral:rRNA from 1 species
AGUGAACGCUGGCGGUAGGCCUAACACAUGCAAGUCGAACGGCAGCACAGUAAGAGCUUGCUCUUACGGGUGGCGAGUGGCGGACGGGUGAGGAAUACAUCGGAAUCUACUUUUUCGUGGGGGAUAACGUAGGGAAACUUACGCUAAUACCGCAUACGACCUACGGGUGAAAGCAGGGGAUCUUCGGACCUUGCGCGAUUGAAUGAGCCGAUGUCGGAUUAGCUAGUUGGCGGGGUAAAGGCCCACCAAGGCGACGAUCCGUAGCUGGUCUGAGAGGAUGAUCAGCCACACUGGAACUGAGACACGGUCCAGACUCCUACGGGAGGCAGCAGUGGGGAAUAUUGGACAAUGGGCGCAAGCCUGAUCCAGCCAUACCGCGUGGGUGAAGUAGGCCUUCGGGUUGUAAAGCCCUUUUGUUGGGAAAGAAAAGCAGCAGGUUAAUACCCCGCUGUUCUGACGGUACCCAAAGAAUAGGCACCGGCUAACUUCGU